CUCAAAAGAAGAGCAGAGUCCUCCUAUGAAACCAGCCCCAGGGAAGCGGCAUCAUCAUCUGUCAACCAACAUUGAGGGAAGUCAAACAGGCCUGUUCAACUGAAUCUCGGUGAAAGCUGCUCCGGAGAAAGACUGGCUGUCUGUAUUUCUCCCAAGGUUCCCUCAAGCGAUUUUUGCAUCUACCGUAUAAUGUCGGUUUUGGACCAUACCGAGCAUAUUCCUCCAGUCAUUUUUUUUUUUUUUUUUUGUAAUAAGAGGAACCUGGACAAGAAAAUAGAGCUGGAGAAACAAGAUUGUUGGCAUUCCAAAGGUAAGACAGAAUUAUGGACUAACAGGGGCAAGUAGAAGAUGUAGACCAGCUCUACUCAAUAUGCCGGACCUUGAUAAGAAAGUUAAUCUUCCCUGCUCUACUGAGUGCACUGGAGGGAUGAGGUGGGCAGACAUGCCGCAGGUGGCCCCAAACUCUGGCACCUGGGGAAGCUUACUGCGUAGAGGCCAAUGUGUCUGGACAUCACUUCCAAGAGGUAGCCAGGCAAGAAGUGACAAUGCAAGUCUGCCAUCGUGUUCAGAAGGGCCAGCAAUGCCAAGGACUCAGGAGGAGAAUUAAAUCAGAGAGUUUCAUUACUGAGUGUUGUUUGACUUUGUUGUUACAGAUUCAUUUAACCAUCUCUCUACCAUGGGAAAAAUUUGUAUCCUAUGUCCAGUAUGAAAUAAAAACUGCCUCCUUCCGAAUUAGGGGUGGCUGAACCACAG
rnacentral:lncRNA from 1 species